rnacentral:rRNA from 1 species
GACAGAGGUGCCGAGCGUUAGGCGGAAUCACUGGCUUAAAGCGUGUGUAGGCGGAGUGCUAAGUACCUUGUGAAAUCCCACGGCUCACCCGUGGAACUGCUUGGUAUACUGGUUCUCUUGAGCCACCUAGGGGCGAGCGGAACAAGUGGUGGAGCGGUGAAAUGCGUAGAUAUCACUUGGAACGCCAAUGGUGAAAACAGCUCGCUGGGGGUGUGCUGACGCUGAGACACGAAAGCCAGGGGAGCGAACGGG